CAACCCUUGACAUGGGACGUAUGGGCACGAGAGAUCGGGUCCUUCAGUUCGGCUGGCGUCCACACAGGUGCUGCAUGGUUGUCGUCAGCUCGUGUCGUGAGAUGUUGGGUUAAGUCCCGCAACGAGCGCAACCCUCAUCUUCAGUUGCCAUCAUUUAGUUGGGCACUCUGAAGAAACUGCCGGUGACAAGCCGGAGGAAGGCGGGGAUGACGUCAAGUCCUCAUGGCCCUUACGGGUUGGGCCACACACGUGCUACAAUGGUGGUGACAAUGGGGAGCAAAGGCGCGAGCCUGAGCCGAUCUCAAAAAGCCAUCUCAGUUCGGAUUGCACUCUGCAACUCGGGUGCAUGAAGUUGGAAUCGCUAGUAAUCGCGGAUCAGCAUGCCGCGGUGAAUACGUUCCC
rnacentral:rRNA from 1 species